GACGGUGUUCACGUGCUGCAACAAAUCUCUGACAAAAACUUGGAAGUCCGAUACCACCAUCCUCUCUCCCUCGCUCUGCCCAUGGCCAACUGGAAAUGGGAAAAGUUUUAGUGUCAUCACCAAGCUGCAUGUACAUCACAUUUAACCCUCUCCAACCACUCCUGAAUGGCAAACUCUUCAAGCGCAGAGAACUCAAGCAACUUCCCUCAUGAUGCACAGCUAGGAGCACCAGCCAACAGCCUUCCUUGGAGGGUCUCUCCACUUUUCCCCUUUGUGAAGGAAAUCAGUUGCUAUAGAAACAGCUGCUGGCAGCUGUGAGCAAAGUUUGGAAACUGUAAGACGGCCAGCUUCCAGAGAAGGCGCCAGCACAGGAGACCAUGGCUGUACCAGGCUGCCAGCAGCUGGCAGUGUUGCUCACAGAGCCUGUGUCACCGCUUUAAAGGGACUUUGCAACCAUGGGGCAAGACCCCGUGGCACAACCGGGAAGGGGCUACCAAGCUUAGAACAAACUGGCUGUGUGGACUCAAACUCAGAGACCCUGCUGUGCUCAGACACAUGUGUCAGUGCUGCGUCUACUCUCCCGACCGCCCGCUUUCCUGUCAGUGUGCCUGGACAGCAGUUUUACUACCUCCAGAGCAGCUUCCGAGUCUCAUGUCUGUCUAGGGAUCCCCACUUUUAAAAGUCUUUUACACUUGUGGUCAAUGCGAGUCACGGACAUGGCACCAUGCCAACCAUUACUACUCCAGCUCAGUGGCACAGAGGAUGUUCACAGCGUUCGGAGCCCACCGUGUACCACCAGGCCAUUGCCAUCCUCCCAACAGCCUCUGUAUGGCCUCCAUUGUGCCUUCCUCCCCUUGCCGAAUUCCUAGCUCUAAAAGCAGUCCUGUGUUUGCAGAUGGGGACUUUUAAAAGGUGACCAAGUUAAAAUGGUAUGACUGGUGUCCUCAAGAAAAGAGGGAAUUUGGAUGUCGAUGCACAGAGGGACAAUCCUGUUCAGGGUACAGGGAGAUGGUACCUACGAGCUGAGGAGAAAGGCCCCAGGAGAGCCUACAUCUUCACCUUCAACUUCUAGCCACAUGGAAAAAAAGGAUGCUUGUUAUUUUUAUAAAACAUGUUUUAAAAUUAUUUUAUAUAUUUAUCAAAUAUAUAAUUUAUCUGAUUAUUA
rnacentral:sRNA from 1 species